rnacentral:rRNA from 1 species
UACGUAGGGUGCAAGCGUUGUCCGGAAUUAUUGGGCGUAAAGAGCUCGUAGGCGGUUUGUUGCGUCGGCUGUGAAAUCCCGAGGCUCAACCUCGGGUCUGCAGUCGAUACGAGCAAACUAGAGUGUGGUAGGGGAGAUCGGAAUUCCUGGUGUAGCGGUGAAAUGCGCAGAUAUCAGGAGGAACACCGGUGGCGAAGGCGGAUCUCUGGGCCAUUACUGACGCUGAGGAGCGAAAGCGUGGGGAGCGAACAGG